AACUCUGUAGACCAGGCUAGCCUGGAACUCAGAGAUCCACCUGCCUCUGCCUCCCAAGUGCUGGGAUUGAAGGCGUGUGCCACCAAUGCCCGGCCCAUUAUGAGUUUCUUACUCCCUCUGUCCCUGGGCUUCUUUUGCUAGCAAGUGAAGGUUGUGGCUAGAGCAUGAAGACCAUAGGACAGUCAGAAGUUGACAGCUGAUGCACACGGUACGUGGAGCAGUGAAAGGCAGAGAGAGGGUUUGCCUGCUCCCGGAUCCCCAACUCCAACCUUGAGCUCCUUGACUUCGACCAUUUACAUCAAGCUUCCAAGCCCUCACUCGAAAACUGCCUGGUGACUGAGCACUGUCACCGAUGGCCUGAGCAAGUCUGGUGGCUGUGAACCAACACGGUGAGAGGAGCCCGAAAGGAAGAGUCCACCGGAUCUGCAGGUGUCAGUAACAGACGGAAGCCCUGACAAUGGUCCCAGAAGACCUUGGGUGGCAGCGAUGAGAAGACCUGAAGGUGUUGAGAGAGUGGGGCGAAGAGGGUGUGGGCACAAGAGGAGAGAGGACAGCUGUUGAUUGGUCAAGGUCAGAAGUAACACCAAAGACCUCAGACUUUGUUCACAGUGUUGGUGAUUACAUAGCACAGCGUAUGUGGGUGGCCCAGAUACACAUGGGGGUCAGGUUCCGGCCACCCUGAGAAGCACAGCAAGAAAUCAGCAAGAAUGAAUGCUAUGGCUAGAGAAUCAGCCAGUCUCCUAGCCACACUCCUAGCUCCAGCACCGAGCGGCCACUUCUCCUUAUCCUUACUGAAGAUGCCUUAAGUCUUGUGUGGAGGAACACGCAUGAGCUGUGUGACUGAGGCAGUUGUCAGGGCUGUCGUGGGGGAAGCAUGGGUGUCUUAGACCCCAUUUACCAAAGCAAAGGGCUGCUGAGGUUUAUUCCCCUGACAGUCAGUUCUUAUCUCUGACGUUUUGGCUGUCUUUGGAAACCCGAAGGAAAGUUUCCCAAGGCUACAACAAAGUCCCACAGGCUGAGUGGCUCAAAAACAGAAAAUCCCUGUGUCACCAUUCUACAGGAGAAUAAUGAAAAAUCAAGCUAUCUGAGAGAUGUGAGGGAAGGGUUCCAGGCCUCUCCCAUCGGCUUGAAGACUCUUGUCUUGAUGUUCACGUCUGUUCUCGCUGUAUCUUCACACUGUCUUUCUCUGUAUGUAUUAGUGGGUCUGAGUUUCCCAUUUUCAAAAACAAACACCAGUCUUUUUGGGUUGGUGUUCACCCUCACUUGUAAAGACUUUGUCUCUAAGUAAGAGCACAGGCUGUAGAAGGAGGACUUAGAUUUCGGCUCCUGAGUUAGGGACCUGGUGGGGAAGACAGUUUCAUUCACAAAAGCAUAGAAAGGAAGAGUGAGGGCUGGGGGAGUCACUCACUCCAGAGGAACAUGACCAAAGUGUGCAGACUUGGCAUUCUUGUGUUUAGCCUCAGACCCCUGGAAAUUCCCUGCUCUGGUCCUCCAGUUCUCAGAAUUUCAUCCCACUGAGAGAGACAUCUAAGUACAUUCCAUGCUUUUCUGAUGACACACUCAUCCUUUGCACUCUUCGCAAUGUGCUAAUCAGGGUUUAUUUAAACUAAUUUGGCAGAUUUGUUGAAGCCAGAUCUCUGAGGCUUUUCACUCAUUCCUUCUGGUCAAGUGAAUCUGAUACUCGAGAUAUUUGACAAAUGACAGUAUUUGAAGCACCGUAUAUGUAGGGAGACCUGUUUCCUUCUUGUUGCUACAAUAAAACCCUUACCUUGUGUUCUUCCAAA